UCUAAGGUCUACUCUCUCAGCAACUUUCAAACAGGAGCACACAGUCAGUAACUACGGCCACCCUGCUGCACACUUCAUCCCCAGGACUUAUUUUAUAACUGGAAGUUUGCACCUUUUGACUCCCUUCCCCCAACCCCUCCCCUUUUUGUAACGUAUUCUCUUUAUCUUUCUCCCCUGCUUCCUUCCUCCCUCCCUCCCUCCUGCCUUCUUUCCUUCCUUCUUUCUUUUGUUGUUAUUUAUCUUUUCCGUUGUCACAGGCGGGCUGUCGUGAACUACACUACCUAGAAGGCAGUGAGGAGGGGACUUGUGACUCUGAGGUCAAUGUGGCAGCUGAAGCUGUGACGUGAAUUCGGAGAAUGACUCCACCAGACCCGAGACAGCACUUGUAAAGGAGAUGGCACGGUUGGCCAAACUACGGCUCCAGAAGAAAAUAGAACAGAGAGGCUGCAAGGAACCCGCGUUCCAACAUCGGCAGGCCUCAGCAUCGAAUAGAUUGCCUGCCUGGAGUUCUCUAGUUUGAGAUGGUAACAUACUUCGUUUUUCUUGACCCCUGGAUCUGGUUUCGGAAGUGUUUGCGUGAGACGCAGGAGAGCUGUUUAGAUUUUUACUCCUUCCGAGCAUAGGGAAAUACGACUGCUAGAAUCUCACAAAUAGCUCAUGAUUUCCCAGUUCCCUCUGGGGGAGGCCACUGUGAUUUUUGUGAAUGAUACCUGUCCUGCUCCAACCCCUUCGGGGCGAGCCAAAUACUCAUUCAGAAAAGCAGACAGUCAACUUGAGCGAUUCCCCAGUAUAAUAAAAAAGGCGAGCUGUUUUCUCCUCUUUUCCUUUUCUUUUCUUCAGCCUUCUCCUUCCCUUGGAGUUGGGGUCCGGCCUGCGUCUCAUGUCCCCGUGGUCUGGUAGGCCAUUGUGGAAGGUCUCAUUGUCUAUGGGGAAUGGGGCAGUGGGGACAGUAGCAGGUAAAUGGUCAUGGAUGGCCACAGGACACUGGAGAACAUGAGGAAGGGGCUGUGAGAGCGAGUAAUUUUUAAUCUGAGGUGUUGCCACAACUGACUGUUGCCCUGACCUGCUCUGAAGGAAGCAUACAGGUUCUCUCCAGAAUGCACUAGAAGAUGUCCGCACACUUGUGCGUCUUGGGGCCGGCGGCCCUGGCUUUGACUCUCAUGUCCACCUGUUAUUUGUUUCCACAUGUCCCAGGGCAAGUCUCUGAGCUUCUAGAAGCUUUAGUAGCCUGUGUCUUUAAAAUGUGAAUGACAAUCCUCUUUUUAUGGGUGGUUGUGGAGAUUCAAUGAGAUGAGUGUGUAUAGCGUACUCGGCCCAGGGCAAACCCUGGGAAAUCCUCAGUGGAUGGUAGGAGCCCAAAUGAUCACAGCGUUGUUGCUGUGAAGAGGAAAUCGAGUGACACUGUACACAGGCACUUGUACGUGGGGUUCAGCCAUGUUUCCUUGACGGUCACCACACCAUAAAAUGCUGCUUCGGCACCAGCAGAAGUGUCCAAAAAACUGCAGCAUUUGAAGUGUGGUGUCGGUCAAUUGGAGGUGAAUGAAACGGUGAGGGUGCAUCUACACAGGGGACUGGUCAGUUCUGGGGAUCUGGGAGCCAGCGGCCAAUAGCCGUGGCUCCAAACGUGCGCCACUGUGGCUGCUUCGUGGCCCAGUUUCAGGGCCUUUGAAUUUGUGGAACAGAGUGUGUCUGAGGGACACAGCGCCUGCUUGCCACUGUAGUGUGUUUCUUCCGUCGUUGACCGGCUGGUGUGCGGCCUCACGCUUCAUCCCCUACAGCCUCGUGACGGCUUGGACCUUCAGCAGGACGUCUUGGAGAGUGGCUUUCUGAGGAAGAUGUCCGGGCUGGGAAGAGCUCUGUGCUCAGCUGAGUGGCGCUUCUUCACUCACCCCCAGGAAAGGGAGCCGAGGAUGGGCAAGGAGUGGUGGCCCUGGAAGUGGAAGGACAGCUGGGAAUCUGGGAUCCAGGGCUGAAGACUGUCCAGACUCCAGAGAAAACCGAGGAGCAGGAAGAGGCCUGGAGGAGGGUCAGAGAGAAAACAAGCAGUUUACAGUCCUUACGAGGAAGAGCGAGGCCCCACGUCACCAAGGUCGUGAGCUGCAAAGGGCAAGCAGGAAGGCUCUGGAGCUUACAGUUCACCUUUUAGCUGAACGUUGGGCUAGUUGGGGAAACUUCCAGUGCCUCUUCCUUUGUAAAGUAGGAAUAAUAAGGAUUCCUUGCUCACUGGGCCACUGAGAGGAGCUCGGCGGUGUAGAUGGUGGAGUACCGGGUGUGGCUGCUGAGUGCGCUGUGCCUGUUGGAAAUGUCAGCUGUUACCGUGUUUACAGAAAUGAGGCCAGCAGGUGCAGAACUGGAACAGGGAGGCUUCCUGAUGGUUGUCAGUCAGCAGGAGAGGGAGUCAGGGAGCUGCUGUCAAUCAGCUAGUCCAACUCAACGCUUCAUAGAAUGACAAAUGAAGAAUUAAAAUACAGAUUGGAAAUAAAUAAGAGAUAAAAGAAUAAAUGAGGAUUUAAGUACAAUCAGAUUUUAAAACUUGUAGCUCUAUCCCAAGCUACAAGUCAUCUCUAGAGGUUGGUCAUCUCUAAACAUUUCACUAAGGCUGUUCAGCUGCAGGUCCUACAAAAAGGGAACAUAGGGGAAGGUCCCAGGCUAUUGACAGGUAGAAAUGAGUACAAUUCAGCCCUUUCUUUCUGAAGAUAACUGCUGUCAGUAAACACAGAUGUUAAUUUUAUUAAAUGAAUGUUAAAAGACAGACUUUAAUAAGCUUACACAAAGUCAAAAAUCCGCGGAAUCUCCUUGUAUAAGGAGCAAAGGAGUCCUGAAGAACUGGAUUUUUUUUAAGGAGAAAAAAGUAGGACACAACAAAAUAUUUUCUUUGGUUGCAAUGAAACUGAGAGAGGAGGAAGAAAACAAUUUAAUGUAAGAAAAAGGUGCAAUAAAAAUGUGAAUAUGGGGAGAAAAAAGAAGAGAAAGCAAAGAAACUGGGGCAGAUUCCCAAGUAGCAUGCACCGUGGUGACAAAGCCUUGGAAGAAUGAGGGCAAACUAACCAAAGCACCUCCGAAGGCUCUGCUUGUAGAAGACAUGAAAGAACAAGAGAGGGUCGGCAGAACCUUAGCUUUCUUUUUUAUUAGACAAGGAUGAAGAGACAAAAAUAAUGCCAUCAAAAGAACAGAUAAUGGCUCUGGCUGGUGUAGUUCAAUGGGUUGAGUGCUGGCCCGUGAACUGAAAGGUCGCUGGUUCAAUUCCCAGUCAGGGCACAUGCCUGGGUUGCAAGCCAGGCCCCCCAGUUGCGGGUGUGCGAGAAGCAACUGAUCGCUGUAUCUCUCACACAUCAAUGUUUCUCUCCGUCUCUUUCUCCCUCCUUUCUUCUCUCUAUAAAAAGUAAAUAAAUGAAAGCUUAAAAAAACAUAUGUUUGAUGCGCCUUAGAAAAAUCUUUACAUUAAAGAAAAGAACAGAAACUAGGAAUGAAGGCAUAAACCUGGAGGGUGGAGAACAUAGGCGUGAAGGAGGGUGGUCCAGAUGGGUGAGGGGUAUUCAAGUCGGAAGGCCUGGUGUGCUUGCAUUUCAGGGUAUGCAAAUGAGGAUGUCAGAGACAUUUCAUGAGUGCAUUUGUGCAAUCAGGGAGGAGCCCUGAUUUGUAAAAAGCUGCCACGCCCAUACACACCUGUGCACAUUGGUACAUGCACACACACACACACACGGAUGUAGGCAACGAAUCUUAAACGAUAGUCUCCGAAUAUAGCAGCAAGCAUCUUGAAUAAAAUACCGGGGAGGGUACAGUUUCUCUCACUGAGGAUGGGCAUCUCUGUGUGGCUAAGGCUCUCUCUAGUUCUACAGAGGGACCGACCUCGUCAGUGAGGCUCGUAACGUGUUGGGCUUCAGAGAGACCCUGAGCCUGUCCAAAAGGAUGAUGCAUAAACGGAGCCCCAUGACCAGACCAGCGACCAUGUGUGUUUGUCCUGUGUUCUGAACACAACCCCUUUUCAUGCAUCCUGGGCUCUCUCUGUGUCUAAUGUGCCAUCGUUUUCCCAGCUUAGUUUCACAGCGGAGUGCAUUUGAAGAGACAUCAAUUUCAUGCCUUGUACGAUUAUUUACCUCUCUUACAACAGGUACCAGAAACUUUGGUGAGAUUUGAGGUGAAUUUUGACUCAGCAAUAAUAUUUCUACGGGCUCUCAACCGUAACCUAAAUACCCUUGCGUCACUUCCAAAGCCACCUUUGGAGGAGCACCUUUUAUGAGUCAGUUGUGUGGAUGAGUUUGUUAUUUAAAAAGGCAAACUGGGAACAGGUAAACACUAAGAAUGUUUAAUGUUGGGCGGGAUGGCAAAAAAUGUUUAAUGACAGAUACUAUUUUUAAAAAUUUUUAAUUGUUGUUCAAGUACAGUUUUCUGCCUUUUACCCCCACCCCAGCCCAACCCCCCAGCCCUCCCCACCUCCCUCCCAUUUCCACCCCCCUUGUUAUCGUCCAUGUGUCCUGCAAACCCUAAAAAAAAAGGUCCUAUUGUCUGUACCUUUGCUGAUUGUUUAAUGAAAUUUCUUAUGGAGAAGUUAUCUGCAGAUAUCCUCACCCAUCAUCAUCAGUGAAACUGGUAUGAUUUCCUUACUAUACGGAACGAAACAGGUCAAACGUUUGGCAAAGUUGAUAUGCUCUUCAGUUUUAGAAAAGGCCGGGAGCCUUUUCUUGAUGCACAAGGUGACUACAGACCUGAUCAUUCACUGAGCUAUGUGACAAUGGUUUCUGCAUCUGUCCUCCAUGCAGAAAGGGAUGCUCUUUGCUUUCUCAGAGGGAAUGGGAACCCCUCUCAGGUGGGAUGUCGUAACCCCCAAACUCACACUGUGGCCUGCACAGAGUGGUGCUUAACACUCGUUGGGGGGAUUGAAAUAGUCACUUAGCAUUUUCCCGACUCUAGGCUAGUCUCUGGCUCUCGCGUUUGCCUUCACCGCCCAAGGAAGGCCCCUCAGGAAGCGACAGUGGGGUGGGGACCGAGGGAGGGCUGCUGACCGAGUGGAGGAGACAUUCACUCAAACCACAUCUGACAAACCAGAAAAGUAAGGUUGCCUCGAACAACUCGCUUUUAUCUGCCUGGAGUGUAUGAGAACAUACGUGUUCAGUGUGUUCCUCAGGGCGCUCUGAGCUUCGGUCCCCAAGCUCCUGCCACAGGCGCCCGGGACAUCUGACCAGGCCUGGAGGGGGACGUAGCGUGUGUCCAUAAGGAAGAGUGAUUAAGGAGUCGCCACCGUCCCCACCACUUUUUCCAUCUGUUGCUGCUGCAAAGAGUCUGGAGGGAGAAGCCAUCCCCGGCCAAAAUGACGUGGGCGGAUGCAGAUGGACUCUCAGUGAACUGUUUACCAUCUGUGAAGAAGAUGGGGUAGCUGUCCACCAAGCCAAUUUCUCAUUUUUCCUGGUGACACAGCUACACUAUUUUUCUCAGAAGAGGCCAUCUAGUCCUAGACAAAAGGAUGUGGGCAGAGAUUACGUGUGCCGUUCUCGGGCCGGUGCGGGAGAGCGAUCCUCCGCCUCCUCCCCCUCCCACCUGUCUGACAAAGGUUCCCAGACGGAAGGGACAAAUCCAUUCAGCAGUUUAAGGAUCCAGGACUAAGAGCACUGAUACGGGGUUUCUGACCAGCGAGACACCUCUCCGCACCCACAGGCCUGCAGGGGUAGACAGGACGGUUGCCAUGGUGCACUAAUGAUGCUGUUUGCCAUAGAACGGAAUGCCAGCCUGCUGAGCACGCACAAGUGUGUCAGUGUGUCUGUCUGUCUGUCUCUCUCUCACACCCCCGUGGAGAAGCGUAGCUGGCCACCAAGGAGGAAGUGAAGCAGGUUACAGCUGAAGGUUGCACCCUGCCCUGCACCCCGUGGGGGCCGGAAAACAGAGAACGGCUCUGGCGUCUGGUCUCCUUCUGUCCGAGGGCCUAUGGGCGAGGCCCUUUCCAGGCCAUGUAACCAAGCAGAAGCCCCCAGGGGCUCUUAAACUCAGGCUUUGCCAGACCAAGAAUUCCUCGUCUGCCGCCAGUCUGAUGUUCGUCAUGUUGCAGCAGAGAAGAACCAGAGAAGGCACAGGCCUGGCUGCUUAAAUUCUUUCUCUAAAAUGAAUGUGUUCAUUGUUUUCCAUGAGAAGAUCCUGAGGGUGAUGGAGUGGGAGAGAGGCCAUGGAGUGCUGCUGUUCAGUUCAAGGAUUAGCUGCUGAUGCCAGGCGACGCGGUUGCUGUUCUGCCAUGAAGCUCGUCGCACAGCUGGCUCCCGGCGGUCCACUCCGUCCCCCUCACAGCCCAGGGCUCGAGAAGCUGCACAUUCGGCUUGAGAUGUUGACGCAAGAAACACUCAAACCUGUUGAGAACUUGUAUAAGAAUUUAUGUGAGGCAAACAUAUGCUGUGAAGCAGAAGCUCAAACGCUCCCCGAAAUAACAGUUUGCAGCUCCUUUUAUGCACUUGGAAUUAAGGGAGGCCCUGGUUGGCGGAGCUCAGUGGAUGGAGUGCCGGCCUGUGGACCGAAAUGUCAUGGGUUUGUGUCCCACUCAGGGCACGUGCCUGGGUUGUGGGCCAGGUCCCAGGUUGGGGGCGUGGGAGAGGUGACUGAUCAAUGUUUCUCUCUCACACUGAUGUUUCUCUCCUUCUCUUUCUCCCUCCCUUCCCCUGUCUCUCCAAGUAAAUAAAUAAAUUCUUAAAAAAAAAUAAAUUAAGGAGGGAAAUAAGGAAGAUUAUGUGAAGGCAAGAGGAAGCCACUUGGGUGUGGGGUUAUGAAAUAGUUAAAAUCCUGUGCUCUCUUGGAGGUGGCCGUGUGAAGAUGGGAUUACAGGGUAGUUAAAAUAUAUGCUCUUUUGAGGGGCCUGAAAGAGGGCAUUUCAAAGGUGUAUUAACCUGGGUGCUUGGAAACAGUGGACAGGGCUUGCUUAAGGCAAAGAUAAGCCUUUCAGUAAAGAGGUUCUAUGCCUGGGGUGUGACUGCCUACCCUGCCCAGAUAGGAAUUGGCGGUCAGGUCACCCUGUGGGGUUACUUUCCACAGAAGCCCUUUUUUCGUCCACAAGAAGCCAACCUUUCCAGAUAAAGCAUCAUCAUUCUUUGUUAUAGAUACACAUGUGGCCUGCUCUCCCCACCAGAAAUUUCAGAUUGGCUCUGAAGGUCCUUAGGAGAAAAAUGAGAAGUGAUACUGGAUUCUACUCUGAGAUUUGAGCUUUGGGUCUUGACUUGCAUUUAAUGAUGGGUUUCUGGAAAGCCUUCUGUUCCCCAGCCUGCAGCACGGUAUUGCUCUUCAUGGUCCCAUGAAGGAGAAACUCAGCCACUGACAGGAAGGAGCUUGGGGUUUCUGCACAGGUAGUAGUAGCACACUGGAGUCAGGACGCAAGUGUGCAGACUGAGCCCCUGAGCGGUGAGAUGAGAAAACCCACAAAGCCCUCGGAGGCAGGAAUGGCAGGUGUUUCAAUGCCUCGUUCUAGAAGCAGAGUGUGAGGAGACGACCUGGAGCCCACACGAACUGCUCCAGCAAAAAGGCGAGGUGGACUGUCCUUGAGCUGACUCUGAAUGACGGGCUGUGGAACCAGAGCACACAGGGUAUUGUGUAGUUGUUGAUAGGUCCUAGUUUUCUACCAGGUGGUUUCAGACAGUCUGGCUGGCUCUCAGUGAACAAGGAAAGGGGAUUGGCAGGAACCGAAGGGUGCAGAGUAACUUCUCCUACGUGAGCUCUCCAGGAAGCAACUGGGAAGAAGAGAACCCCCAGGGGCUGACUCCCUAGAUGGCACCUUCACUGCUUUGUAGUUGGGGGCCCUGAAGAGGUGUCUGCAUAUUAAACAAAACAAAACAAAAAACUGAGUGACUAAAGGCUGUCCAGACGAAGGGUCACAUGGUGUAAAUGCCACUCUGCCCUUCUCACACCAUGACAAACAUCACCAACUCAUUGGGGCACGUUGUCCUGCUGAGAGACCUCACUCUGGCCUUUUGGUUGGAAAAAAAAUUAGACAUCCUAAGACAGCAAGAGACUAGUGUCAACAAAAAGGUGUCCCUCUCCUUUUAUUUCAGUCGACGGUGGUAGUCAUGAAGUCUCUUAAUUCACGUUGAUCUCGGUGACUUCAUUCUGACUCAGAAACUGGAAUGAUUACUAUUUUUUUCCAUAUUGAGAUGAAGGUUAAUUUUUCAAGGACAGACUCCUACUAACCAAGCUUUAGAAACCGAUGUUGUGAUGUAGUAAGACAUAUAUUUGGUCUUUGUUCCCCUAGUUCCUGGCACAGAGCUCCUAACACUCUUGGUUUCCUGAGUGAUAGGAAUGCCUUUUAUUAUUCGUCAAAGCUUCUCCUGAGCAUACCUGAGUUUAUUCUAAUGAGGUGAUUUAAGGGGCAUCCCUGGAUAACGCAGAACAGAACAGGUAACUAGGAAAGCCAAGUGAUUAGAGGCUUGAGGCUUGCAGCCUCUCCCAGGAAGUGGAGUGUGAGGGCAGCUGGAGAGUCAAGUUUUUUAAAAUUUAAAAAUAUUUUAAAAUUUAUAUCGGAACAAUAAAACCAAUUAUAUGUCAACACAUAUUCUAAUUGUAGUAUUCUAUUAUACAAGGGUAGCAUGAUUUGUUUUUUUUUUCUUUUUUGACUUAAUCUUUAUUGUAUUUUUUCCCCACAGAUUCCCAUAGUUCCAUAAAAACUCUUGAACAACGAGGUCUGACCAGCUUCCAGGAAGCUGGCCUGGACAGCACAGGGAGGUUCGCCGCCCCUCCCCCAUGCCUUGCCCCGUGCCUUUCUUCCCCCUGGCUGUUUCUGAGUUGUAUCCUUAACGAUAAAUCAGUAAACGUAAGUAAAUGCUCCCCUGAGCUCUGUUAGCCAUUCCAGCAAAUUACAGAAUCCAAGAAGGAGGUCAUAGAACCUGAUCUAUAGCAGGUGGGCCAGACAUGCCCCUGACAACCUGGGUUUGCAGCUGGCCUCUGAAAGUGGGGGGCAUUCCCAAGGGGCUGAGUCUUUAACCUGGGGGCUUGAUGCUAUCUCCAGGUAGACAGUGCCAGGACUGAGGUGAAUCUGUGCACCCCACUAGUGGGUGUCACCUGAGAAUUGGAGAUUUGCCGCAGGAAGAUCUCUCACAGAUCUGGUGUCAGAACAUUGAGAGUUGGAGGGAAAAUGCACUUCCAUUGCAGAUGUAUAAACGGAAAGGCCACUUUAUCAGGGCUCAUGGAUGACUAUUCUUGCACAAGUUCGAAGAGGGCCUCGCCUUCCUGUAGAGUUGAAUUGUAACCGGAAACUUUCUGGAGAAGGUUGUGCCCACGAAAGAACACUCAAACCUGCAAAAGAUUUUUAUAAGACCUUAUCUGAGUCGAAACUGAUGACAAUUUCCCAGAAGCAUGGUCGAAAAAUGCUUUGGAGAGUAAUUAAGGAGGUAAUGUAAAGAAAAUGACGGGAAGGUGGAGAAAGCAACCAGGAGGUCAGAUUUCAGGACAGUUCGGAUGACGUCAGGGUUUAGAAGGAGGGGCGUGAAAGGGAGCGGUUGGAAGGUGUGCCAACCUAGACAAACCAAACCACGGGCUGCCUUAAGGCAAAGAUAAGGCUUUCACUAAAGAAGUUGUGUGACUGCAGUGUGACCGCCCAGCACGACCUGCCCGGGUAGGAAUCUAUGAUCAGAUCACCCGUGAGGUUCCUUCGCCUAGAACCCGUUUUUCAUCCACACGUGGAACCGAAACUGAAAGAGUCAUACGUGUACAUUCACCGUUCAUUUACUAUCCGAUCAUUCUACCUUGGAGACAAAGUGUCUCAUCUCAUAGGGCCUACGUGGCAAUAAAAGGGACUGAAGGUAAAUAGGAAACAAUGAACAAACAAGGUAAUUCAAAUACUAUUACGAGGUACGAAGAGCGUAAAGCAGGGCACUGUGGCAGUGAAUCAGACGUUUCAUUUGUUCCCACAUUCUUGGCUGACCGGUCUUUCUACACUCCGUGAAUUCCUGACUCCAGAGGCAGAAUAACUGAGACCUUGGCCCAGGACAUGACUCCCUGGGGCAGUGCUUUAACGGGGGCUUUGCCAGCCAGUCUGAGGGCGCUCCUUGCUCACAGUCUUCCUUCAGAGCGAGCCGCACACCUGGUGCUGGGGAGCAGCAUGGGGCACUGACCAAGAGCACGCGCUCCGCCGCUGGAGCAGGGACCGGGAUGCGCACUGGGUGUUACUCCUUCAACAAAUGUUCGUCGAACAUGUAUUAUGUACCAGAUACUGCACUGGCCUAAACAGCAAUGGUGAACCACAUGACGUCCUUGCUCUCAUGCAGCCCGGGUGGCAGGCCAGGUUGCAGGUUGGGGGUCCAUCCCUUCCCCUUUUUCUGAAAGUAAGUAAAUCUAAAAAAAUUAAAAUAAAAGGGGUAAGAAGUACUAUGAAGAAGAAUGAAAGCAGUGGACUGGGAAUAGAGUCCUGGAGUGGUUGCUAUUCUGAGAAGGGUAACUUGGGCACAGUCUUCCCUAGGCAGUGACACCGGGGACCUGAAUGAAAUGAGGGGGCCAGCCAUGAGGAUGUUUGAGAGAACGGUCCAGGCGGUGGGAAGGCCAAGUGCGCAGGGUCCGAGCUGA